UUUUUAAUAAGAUAACUAUUAAGAAUGAAAAAAAAGGAUGAUGAUGAUGAUGAUGAUGAAGAUGAUGAUAGGGAGAAGGAGAUUGUUUGGCAAGAUGAUAACUACAUACGACCGAUUAAAGACCUCACUACUGCGGAGUGGGAGGAGGCAGUGUUCAAAGAUAUCAGUCCUCUCAUGGUUCUUGUUCACAACCGCUACAAAAGGCCAAAGGAAAAUGAAAAAUUCAGGGAAGAGCUAGAUAAGGCGAUUCAGGUCAUAUGGAACUGUGGACUUCCUUCACCAAGAUGUGUUGCUGUUGAUGCUGUGGUUGAGACAGAUCUGGUCUCUGCUCUGCAAGUUACUGUGUUCCCAGAGAUCAUCUUCACUAAAGCUGGAAAGAUAUUAUACCGUGAGAAAGGCAUUAGGACAGCAGAUGAGCUCUCAAAGAUCAUGGCCUUCUUCUAUUAUGGAGCUGCAAAGCCACCUUGUUUGAAUGGUGUUGACUAUUCCCAUGAACAGAUUCCUUCAGUCGAUCUAACGUGGUAAGUUAUAUGAGUCACAGAAGCAGAGACUUCACGUCCUUAAACACUUACCAUAAUCAUCUUUCCCUCUCUUGCGACUGUGCUCUCCUCUCCAAACCCACCAGCAUGAUAAAGAAUCUACAAGAGUGGACUUCCACUUGUAUGACAAAUAAUCUAGAAGGUUCAACUCGUUACCAGACAAUUACUCACCGCGGUUGAAGCACCGGAAGGGGUUGAAGAUGAUUCCUGUUAACAUCACACUGUACGUGGAUAUUAGGAGGCAGUUGAAAUGUGAAGCCAUCUAAAGAAAUGCAUCCCACCCAGUAGAUUCAGUGUAAAGAGAAGUCUCUCCUUCAAGAUUCUGCUUAGACUAACUCUCUCAGCUCUUCACCAUCUCCAUCACAACUACCUCGAAUCAACUCUUUAACCUUGGCUAAGUUCCCAGUUGUAGCUGCGAUAUGAAGAGGCGAGUCUCCUCUUUUUCCCUGGUGACUCAUUCUUCUUCCUCCUGUCACCAAUGAAACUCAUCUGCCUCUCCAUCACACACGGAAGCUCUUCUACGGAUGAUCUUCUGCCUCUCCAUUGUUGCUCUACCAAAACUAGGAAGCUUCUCCAGAACUCCACCUCGAAAACUCUGCUGCUUCUUCAUUGAUCUUCUGAGUCUGCUUGGGUGAUGAUUCUAAACAUUCACAACACUUGGAAAUUGACUUGCUUCUCUAUAGCUCAUCUGGCCUUUCUCGGCUAAUGAUUCUGAAAACUCAGUUGCUUCUCCAUUGAUUUGGUCUGAUGAUUCUCUUGUGUUUGGUUUGUGAUACCAGUAAAUCUCUGCGGUUCUCCGCAACAUGACUACUCGGCUACUCCUCCAUCAUAUUCAUACUACUGUAUUACUCC